CUGAACUGCUCACUGAGAACAUUUGUUCCCUUUUGAGAAAGAUGCAAACCAUCUUUUUUUGUACAGUUUAUUUCCAUUCCAAACAGAGCUACCAUGAGAAAUGAAGCCAAAUCCUUGCUCCCGACACCAUUCACCAAGCCACAAGUUAAAGUCCCUAAUACGCAUCCGCCUGUCGUUCUGAGUGUUAUGCACAGGCAGAACUUCAGAGAAUGAC